rnacentral:rRNA from 1 species
UACGUAGGGGGCAAGCGUUGUCCGGAAUCAUUGGGCGUAAAGGGUGUGUAGGCGGUUGUGUUAGUCUUCUGUUAAAUUCUUCGGCUUAACCGGGGGCAUGCGGAGGAAACGGCACAACUAGAGGAUGCGAGAGGUGAAUAGAACUCAUGGAGUAGGGGUGAAAUCCGUUGAUAUCAUGGGGAAUACCAAAAGCGAAGGCAAUUCACUGGCGCACUCCUGACGCUGAAACACGAAAGCGUAGGUAGCGAAUGGG